CAGUCGCCGCGGGAAUACGAAGGGUGCAAGCGUUAAUCGGAAUUACUGGGCGUAAAGCGCGCGUAGGUGGUUUGUUAAGUUGGAUGUGAAAGCCCCGGGCUCAACCUGGGAACUGCAUCCAAAACUGGCAAGCUAGAGUACGGUAGAGGGUGGUGGAAUUUCCUGUGUAGCGGUGAAAUGCGUAGAUAUAGGAAGGAACACCAGUGGCGAAGGCGACCACCUGGACUGAUACUGACACUGAGGUGCGAAAGCGUGGGGAGCAAACAGGAUUAGAUACCCGAGUAGUCCCUGUCUCUUAUAA
rnacentral:rRNA from 1 species